UUCUAGAAUGGACGCUGAUUAGAAAGGAGGGAAUUUGAAUGUUUUAGGUUAAAUAAAUAUUUUUUUCUCUAAGUUCUUUGCCAGCGCUAUUAGACUAUAAAUAUAAAUAAUAGAGAAUGGCAAGGCUUUGUUCAGAUGUCUGUUCAUUGUUAAAUGAUGCACUUAUAAAGAAACUAUUUCAGCAUAAAAUUUUUACUGUCGUCGAUGUUCUUGAAGAAGAUUCAGAAAAAUUAGUGCAAAUUUUAAAGUUGUCUUAUAAGGAAGUGCUGCAGGUACGCCACACCAUCAUCGCAAACUAUGCUGCCUUCCCGAGGAAGUGUAACGACAUCUAUGAAGACCUGGUGUCCAACUCUGCCCUCAUACCGACCGGCAUCGCCAGCGUGGACGGGCUGCUGGGCGGCGGGCUGCUGACGGACCAGGUGUGGGAGCUGUGCGGGCCCGCGGGCGAGGGCAAGACCCAGCUGUGCCUGGCCGCCGCCUGCCACGCGGCGCUCGCCCUGCGCCAGCCGGUCCACUACGUCGACACCCAGCUGGGCUUCUCGGGCCGCCGCCUGCAGGCCGCGCUCGAGGCCCGCGCCGCCCCCCACCAGGAGAUGGCGGGCGCCAUGGAGCGGGUGCAAGUGACGCGGGUGAGCGACUCGUACCAGUUGCUGGGCGCGCUGCACCGGCUGAAGACGGCCCUGCAGGACGGCCGGGAGGGCGGCGGGGCGGGGCGGCUGGUGGUCGUCGACUCCCUGGCCGCUCUCUUCUUCUCCUACCUGGGCGAGGACCACAACGACGGCCUGAGCCAGCUGAACCACGUGGCCAACGUGCUGCGCUUCCUGGCGUCGGAGUGCCACGUGGCGGUGGUGGUGGUGAACGUGGCGGUGCGUGGCGGGGACGACCUCCGGCAGCAGCAGGAUGAGGCGGCGGCCGGGACGCUGCGGCCGGCCCUGGGGCGCUACUGGGCUCACGUCCCCAGCACCCGCCUCCUGCUGCAGGACGGCACGCUGUCCGUCGCCAAGAGCACGCACCUGCCCCGGGGCGCGUCCUGCCCCGUCCACGUCACCGACAAGGGGGUCGAGUGACCGCAUCCACUAGCCACUAGAUCUCCCCAAUAAAAUGGUGUUGGUGCCAAAAGUGCUGGCUGCCCGGUUCUUCGAGGAAGAAGUGGAGGAGGGAAUGUUGCCAAACAUCGCUGCCUCCUUCUUUACGGAGGAUGUGAAGGAAGCCGCCCCCUUCUCCACAACCUCCGCAGCCCUGGAAACAUGGCGGGGCCCUCUGGGACGUGUCCCUGGGAACGACCCCCCCACCGCAGACGAAGGCUGGGGCUAUCGCCUCGCCUCCUCCCCACCACGUGUUUCCGCGCCACCGUCAGACAGGGUUGUGGCCAAGCUACUGGCGGUGGAAAAAAAGAAUUAAAAAAAGUUGCCGUGCCAAGAGGGCUGCAGCCUGACCACCGCGCCGCGGUGACAGGGCCCUCCGGCUUCGGCACGGCACUGCGGCAGUCUGGUCCGUGCAAGUCGCGCUGGAGGAUCCUGCACUCUGCGCUGUCGCCCGGGUCGUAGAGCCGUGCCGGGCUCGAGUGUCCAGCAAGUGACUACCGACCGACGAGAACAAGAGCGGUUGAGACUCACUUGUGCAUGCUGAACAAUUUUUUUUUUUUGAAAACAUGUAUUUAUUGAGUUAGAAUAAUAAUUUUUUUUUUAUUAUUCUCACACUACACCUGUUGCUAUUAAGGAUCACCCCAUUACCUUCGGUAGAUAUUGAAAUACACUGAAAUAAGUUAAACAUGUGUACCUACUGUAUUUAAUUUUACGUGCACUUUUAUGCAGUUUUUUUUAUUUAUUUUUUAUUAAUGUUAAUAUGUGGUACCUACCUGUUAAGAUGAAAAAAAAAACUGUCUCUCACUUAAAUAAUUAUUUAAUAAAAUAAAAAUAAUAUGGUUAUUAUUUACAAUUUUUAGUUUUUUUAUGGCCUUUCCCAUGAAUCGCUCUUGCAUUGCAAAUGAGUUAACAGAAAACCUGGUGACUCG